UACGUAGGGUGCAAGCGUUAAUCGGAAUUACUGGGCGUAAAGCGUGCGCAGGCGGUUAUGUAAGACAGAUGUGAAAUCCCCGGGCUCAACCUGGGAACUGCAUUUGUGACUGCAUAGCUUGAGUGCGGCAGAGGGGGAUGGAAUUCCGCGUGUAGCAGUGAAAUGCGUAGAUAUGCGGAGGAACACCGAUGGCGAAGGCAAUCCCCUGGGCCUGCACUGACGCUCAUGCACGAAAGCGUGGGGAGCAAACAGGAUUAGAA
rnacentral:rRNA from 1 species